rnacentral:rRNA from 1 species
GAUGAACGCUGACAGAAUGCUUAACACAUGCAAGUCAACUUGAAUUUGGGUUUUUAACUUAGGUUUGGGUGGCGGACGGGUGAGUAACGCGUAAAGAACUUGCCUCACAGCUAGGGACAACAUUUGGAAACGAAUGCUAAUACCUAAUAUUAUGAUAAUAGGGCGUCCUAUAAUUAUGAAAGCUAUAAGCGCUGUGAGAGAGCUAUGCGUCCCAUUAGCUAGUUGGAGAGGUAACGGCUCACCAAGGCGAUGAUGGGUAGCCGGCCUGAGAGGGUGAUCGGCCACAAGGGGACUGAGACACGGCCCUUACUCCUACGGGAGGCAGCAGUGGGGAAUAUUGGACAAUGGACCAAGAGUCUGAUCCAGCAAUUCUGUGUGCACGAUGAAGUUUUUCGGAAUGUAAAGUGCUUUCAGUUGGGAAGAAAGAAAUGACGGUACCAACAGAAGAAGUGACGGCUAAAUACGUGCCAGCAGCCGCGGUAAUACGUAUGUCACGAGCGUUAUCCGGAUUUAUUGGGCGUAAAGCGCGUCUAGGUGGUUAUGUAAGUCUGAUGUGAAAAUGCAGGGCUCAACUCUGUAUUGCGUUGGAAACUGUAUAACUAGAGUACUGGAGAGGUAAGCGGAACUACAAGUGUAGAGGUGAAAUUCGUAGAUAUUUGUAGGAAUGCCGAUGGGGAAGCCAGCUUACUGGACAGAUACUGACGCUGAAGCGCGAAAGCGUGGGUAGCAAACAGG